rnacentral:rRNA from 1 species
GUGUCAGCAGCCGCGGUAAUACGGAGGGUGCGAGCGUUAAUCGGAAUUAUUGGGCGUAAAGGGUGCGUAGGUGGUUUAAUAAGUUAACUGUGAAAGACCCGGGCUCAACCUGGGGGUGUGAGUUAAGACUGUUGAACUAGAGUAUAGGAGAGGGUAGUGGAAUUUCCGGUGUAGCGGUGAAAUGCGUAGAGAUCGGAAGGAACACCAGUGGCGAAGGCGGCUACCUGGCCUAAUACUGACACUGAGGCACGAAAGCGUGGGGAGCAAACAGGAUUAGAUACCCUGGUAGUCC